CAGCGCAAUGGAUAGCUCAUUGGACUUCUGAUCCAAAGGUUAUGGGUUCGAAUCCCACCUUGAAGG
rnacentral:tRNA from 1 species